rnacentral:lncRNA from 1 species
AUUUGGCCCCGCGGCCCCGUUUUCAAAGCGCAGGUUCCGAUUUCCCGAGAGAUGGCAAAGGCCCUGGCAGGAAGUUUACAGGGUUUAACGUAAACAAGUUCUGGGGGAUUCUUUAAUAAUAAUAAUAGAGAAUUCCGCGUGCGCAGGGCGGGAGGGGGGAGUUGGCCUAAUGCCCCUGUGGGCUCGGCCUGCCGCCGCCGCGGGGCCUCUGACACUGCGCGCCAGGCCAGGUUCCUGAGAGCAGACAGCGCGGGCUGGGAGCGCCGGCAAGGGCGGCCCUCGCGCACCUGGCUGCCAGCCCGCAGGGGGCUCGCACGCAGACCUGCCCUUGCCACCUCAGCGCUCGGGUGCGGGCUGGGGGCGGUGGAGCCACGAAAGGUGGUGCCGAGAGCGGAGCGCAGGACAGCGCAGGAGCCCCGGCGCAUCGCGGCGCGCACAGACCCAGGAUUUGUGAAGAGGUGACCCAAAUUUCAAGACAAUGUUGGAUGCAAACGGAUUUGCCAGCAACUGCAUCACUGUCAAAACCAGCUCUGCCCGUGUCUUCCGAAGAUACCAAGUGAAAUACAUGUAGAUGGGAUUUACAUCUGAAAAACCAAGGCAAGAGGCCAUGGGAAGGGACGGAGGUGGAACAGGACUGGACAGAAGCUGAUAAAUGGUUGUUGCUGAGUACUGGGCAGAUAGGGGUUGGUUAUCCUAUUGUCUUUACUUUCAUAUAUUUUAUUUUUUCUGUAAUAAAACAAAUUAAAAUCACCUGUCGUGACCUCACAGGGGCCAGUGUGGGUUGUGGCGUGAGGCAGGAAGCUCUGCAGAGUUCCUUGGUCAAAAGGAUUAAUUACAAAAGAACUCCAUGAACACCGAGAAGAAGAGAAGGGAAUCCUGGCAUUUAAAGCCACAAAGAAACUUGAUAUGGUCUUGUCUCCUUCUCUCAAUUGACAGUGAGAAACUGAAGACCAGAGAGGGUGAGUGGUUUACUCAGUUUGGCACAACUGACCCCAACCUAGCCCUCCAUGAGGACUGAGCGCAUGAGAGAUCCUGAGCCACAGCCGCCCAGCCCUGCUCCUCUCGAAUUUCUGACCUACAGGAACUGCAAGAAGUAAUGAAAGACUGCUGUUUAAAGCCACUGCAUUUUGGCAUGAUUUGUUAUGCAGUCGUAGAUAACCAGAAAACAUCGGAUUUACAUUUUAAGGAUUUGGUGCAUGGGAUGGGCUCAGUUGGGCAGUUCUUCUGUUCCAUGUGAUGGUACUGGGGCUGCAGUCAUUCAGAGGCUCAACUGGGCUGAACGUGCAAGGUUUCUUGCUCACGUGGCCAUCAGUGGUGCUGGCUGCUGUUGGGAGCUCCACUGGACUUCUGUCCAGAGCUCCUCAGCUCACCUCUCUGUAUCCUUGCCCUGUGGCUCAGGCUUCUAACAAUACAGAGGCUGGAUUCCAAGAGGAGGGAAUUAGAAGCGUUCAGCCUUCUUAAGACCAGGAUUCAGAUGUCCCAGACUGUCACUGUAUUGACCGGAGCAUUUACAGGCCAGCCUAGUAAUUUUUCCAUCUUGGGCAGGAAUGGGUGGCAUAUGCUGGGGGUAGGGGUAGCAUUGUUGGGGAUCAUCUUUGGAGCUGUGUGCCAAGGAGUAAAUUGCUGGGCUGCUUUCUACCUGAGGAAGUCCACUAUGCUUGCUUGUGGAGAGUGGAUUGUGUGCUCAGAGUCCACAAGGAUUUAAGAAUCCGAGCCCUGCUGCCCUUGCCUCAGCCUGUGCAUUAGGGCCCGGUGGUGAGAGCACUGAGCCAUUGUGAAUCAAGGCCCCUCCCUCGACCUGCAUACUAACAGGCCAGAAGAGCUUGCUUGAUUUUGGUCCUAGGCUCCUGCCUGUGGGUUGGAUUCCAGGGGCACUCUCUCCUCCACAAACCAGACGGUGGCAGGUACAUCCCCUCAAUGGAAAUUGCCCACACUUCACCCUAAAGACAGAUCCUGCUGUUCAGCAACAAUGUGAGUGGCCCACACAUUUGUCCAGCAUGAAACCGUUUGCAGAUUCCUUUCCAGUACACAGUCCCGUCAGCCGGUCACUUCACGAUGACAGCUCCUCGAAGCACCUUUUGGUUUGCAGUUGUGUAGCUUAGAAGUAGGAGCCUGCACGGCUUCAGGAAUUCACAGAAGGAGCACACUUUGUGCUUGGAGAAGUUAAUUAUAGGAAUAUCCUGCAACCUGCUGCUCUGAGCCUGUGCACCUGGGGUGUUUCCCUGGAGGUCCUGUGUAUGAGGAUACUCAUCAGCAUGGGGUUUGGGAAGCCUAGCAGUGGAGACAACCUAGGUGGUCCUCUCCAGGGGAGUAGGUAAGAGCCCUACAGCAGUGAAAAGCAUUGAAGGAAAAGUGUGUUCAGCAGUGCUCUUAAUCUGAUCAGAGCAGCCUGAACACAUUCUAAACACAGGGCAUUUAGAACUAGGGUAGAGGCACUAGAGCACCAUAGAUACAAACUCAGAUUCUGAAGGUAAAUGCCCAGGUUCAAAUCCAAGCCCCCUCGCCAAGUGACCAUGACUCCCCCGAGUCACCUGACCUCUGUGUUUACAUCCUCAAAGUUAAGUAGUCAGGAAAGGGGGCUUGGGGCUUGCCACAUGGAUGGUUGCCACUCUCCUUUGCAAAGUGUAGUCCCCAAAAACAGGUGGAAGAGGGAAGGGUCCAAUUAGAAGGCCGAGUACCAGCUGCCAUGAAUAUGCCAGAGCUGCUGGCUAGUGAUAAAUAACUGAAACCCAGGGGGACAGCAGAGCUUGGGUGACCAUACAUUCUAGGAAAGAAAACAUGCCUGUUGUCCUGGCUUUUUAUCCAGCUUAGACAAAGAUGGGCAAAGAAAAUAAUUUAGAAAAUGGUAGAGAUGGGCACAGAGAAAGGGCACGGAGGGAGGCACAAACAGAAGGCCAAGUGAUGGUGGAGGCAGACAUUGGAGAAAUGCCUUUACAAGCCGGGGAAUGCCAAGGAUGCUGGCAACCCUGGGAGUGGGAAGAACCUGGAACACACCCUCCGUCAGAGUCUCCAGAAGGAACUGGCCCUUCAUCACCUUUCGGACUUCUGGCCUCCAGAACUGGGCAAGAAAAUGUUUCUGCUGUUGGAGGCCAUCCAGCUGGUGGUCAUUUGUUAUGGUUGCCACAGAAAACGAAUAUAGAUUUAGACAUCUAAUUUGCAUAUAUAGAUAUGCAUGUGUAUUUGUUAAAUAAAAGAUAAAGCAUGACAACUCGA